ACACCUCAACUCUCAUGGUCUUCCGUGACGAGCUUGGACUUUGGGGGUUUGCUGGCCCUGCGGCCGGCUCCUCUCAAACAAAUCAGCUUGCCAGUGUUUGGCGGCAUCUCACGGGUGUGAUAACUAUCUACGCUCGCGGCUGUCUGCCAGGUAACCCUCAGCGAUGAAGGUUCAUUGGGGCUCAUAAACGUCUCUCCUCGGCGAGGACAACUUUUGAAC
rnacentral:misc_RNA from 1 species